GCGCGAUUCAAUGGACGUCAGAAGCCGGGCGCAGCCGCGCUUUAAAUCUAGACGGGGGUCUUAAGGUUUGAGCUGCACCUUGGAUAGUAUUGAUCUGUUUGGGAGAAUGUCUGCUCCGAAUUUGCCCAGAUUGAUCACCAGGACGCUUGUCAUUCCCGGUUGUUUUCUGGCCACAUCUGAGGGAAUGAGUCUCACGUGAAUACCAGUUCUGCAUGGGCUUGCUGUGGGCAUCCCCAAGAGAUCCAUCCAGUUUCUGUGGUGUGAUGCGGUACCACACACCUGUUCGGUGACGUCACGAAGAACAGCUGCAGCUUCUUUUACUGUUUUGUCUUUUAUAAACGUUAAAUAUUGGCUUGGUUGAUAUCUAAAUGUCAAAGGCACAUUUUUAAAUAAUAAAAAAAAAAGCCAUCUUUCAGUUU